GUUGGAGUUUACCAUCCUGAUGAACUUACACAUGACCUUGGGUAAUUUGCUCAGAUCCUCAAAGCAACACAGACACCUCAUUCCUGUUGAUUUAAAUUAGAAGUAAUAUCCUUGAAAGGCCAGUCAUAAUCUUUCUGGACUUCAUUUCUCUUCAAAAAACAGGGACAGCAGCACCUCACUCUGCCUGGGUUUUGAGAGGAGAAACACAAUAAAGAUGCUGAAGAGCUUGCUUACAACACUAUCAAGGAACAUAUGAGCAAUGGUAGUAAGGCUUUAUACCCCCAAGGCCAUCUCUGGAUGGAGAAGACAGAAAACAGGAAAACAGAGGGCUGGCCACCUGCAGAAAGAAAGGAAGAUUCAGACAAUAGUGACAUUUGGAACCAAAACCCUGGUUUUAUAACACAAAGAUCAUUGGCAAAGGGUAACACAGCGACAUCCGUCAAGCUCUGUGCAACCCUGGAUGUUCCACUGCAGUGGGGAAGGUGCAGAACUGGGACCUUUCUGUACAGAAAUGGCAAAAGCUCAGUAUUUGGGUUUAAUUCUGAAGAUAAAUGUACUUUAUUAACU
rnacentral:lncRNA from 1 species